UACGAAGGGUGCAAGCGUUACUCGGAAUUACUGGGCGUAAAGCGUGCGUAGGUGGUUCGUUAAGUCUGAUGUGAAGGCCCUGGGCUCAACCUGGGAAUGGCAUUGGAUACUGGCGACCUAGAGUGCGGUAGAGGGGUGUGGAAUUCCCGGUGUAGCAGUGAAAUGCGUAGAUAUCGGGAGGAACAUCUGUGGCGAAGGCGACACCCUGGACCAGCACUGACACUGAGGCACGAAAGCGUGGGGAGCAAACAGGA
rnacentral:rRNA from 1 species